AUUGAACGCUGGCGGCAGGCCUAACACAUGCAAGUCGAACGAGUGGCGGACGGGUGAGUAAUGUCUGGGAAACUGCCUGAUGGAGGGGGAUAACUACUGGAAACGGUAGCUAAUACCGCAUACCAUCGGAUGUGCCCAGAUGGGAUUAGCUAGUGGGUGGGGUAACGGCUCACCAAGGCGACGAUCCCUAGCUGGUCUGAGAGGAUGACCAGCAACACUGGAACGGAGACACGUCCCAGCCUCUAACGGGAGGAAGCAGUGGGGAAUAUGGGACAAGGGGCGAAAGCCUAAUGAAGCCAUGCCGCGUGUAUGAAGAAGGCCUUCGGUUUGUAAAGUACUUUGAGAGGGGAGGCGUUACCCGCAGAAGAAGCACCGGCUAACUCCGUGCCAGCAGCCGCGGUAAUUC
rnacentral:rRNA from 1 species